UACGUAGGCAGCGAGCGUUGUUCGGAGUUACUGGGCGUAAAGAGUGCGUAGGCGGUCAGCCAAGUUUGGUGUGAAAUCUCCCGGCUCAACUGGGAGGGUGCGCCGAAAACUGGUUGGCUAGAGUAUGGGAGAGGAAAGCGGAAUUCCUGGUGUAGCGGUGAAAUGCGUAGAUAUCAGGAGGAACACCUGUGGUGUAGACAGCUUUCUGGACCAAAACUGACGCUGAGGCACGAAAGCGUGGGUAGCAAACAGG
rnacentral:rRNA from 1 species